GCGGAUGUCCAUUGCUGCCCUCCCAUACUGAGGUAAGUCUGACCGCCACGACCACUGGCUCCGUGGCAACUUACCGCUGCAAGACGGGAUUUCAGUCCGGGAACGGGACCACAACGCUUACCUGUGGCAGCGAUGGGGAAUGGAAGGGCACAUUGCUAAGUUGUGAAGCGAUGACCCCCUGUAUCCGGUUCUGUGGGUUUGGAAGCUGUUUUGUUGAUGGCGACAUUCAGAAGUGUGACUGCAACACAGGAUACGGAUUUUUUGGUCUUUCCCAGUUUUGCCGAGAUAUCAAUGAAUGCGAAGACGGUUUAGACUAUUGCUUGGGCCGGCCAGCCUGUGUGACUAACGCGAGGUGCAUCAACUCUCCGUACGGCUCGUACACGUGCCGGUGCCCCAGUGGUUAUACUGGUGACGGGAGGACAUCAU